CCCACUGCCUGGCCUUCUUGUCUUCCACCUAGGAAACAAGGACAAAGUAAACAUGAAGUUCUUCAUUUUUACUUGCCUUUUGGCUGUUGCUCUUGCAAAGCAUAAGAUGGAGCACAGCUCAUCCAGUGAGGAAUCUGUCAACAUCUCACAGGAAAAAUUUAAGCAUGAAAAGAAUGUGAUCAUUCACCCCAUUAAGG